GCCAGGCCUGCUGCACACACAGCAGACAGACACGCGUGUGCACGGGGACGGGGCCAGGCCUGCCGCACACACACAGCACACACACGCGUGCACGGGGACGGGCACACUCAGGUCCCUCAAACACCCUCCCCCAGGCCUGUGCACCGGUCAGACCCCCAGAGUCCCGGCCCUGGGCCCCAGCCUGAGUCCUCGGUGAUGGGCCUCACCUGGCAAGAGUGUGCCUGUCUCUCUGUCCGUCCUAUGUGCGUGUCCCUCUGUGCGUCCUGUGUGCAUGUGCCUCUGUGCAUCCUGUGUGCCUGUCCCUCUGCGCGUCCUGUGUGUGUGUCCCUCUGUCCGUCCUGUGUGCGUGUCCCUCUGUGUGUCCUGUGUGCGUGUCCCUCUGUGUGUCCUGUGUGCGUGUCCCUCUGUCCGUCCUGUGUGCGUGUCCCUCUGUGUGUCCUGUGUGCGUGUCCCUCUGUGUGUCCUGUGUGCGUGUCCCUCUGUCCGUCCUGUGUGCGUGUCCCUCUGCGCGUCCUGUGUGUGUGUCCCUCUGUGUGUCCUGUGUGCGUGUCCCUCUGCGCGUCCUGUGUGCGUGUCCCUCUGUCCGUCCUGUGUGCGUGUCCCUCUGUGUGUCCUGUGUGCAUGUCCCUCUGUGCGUCCUGUGUGCGUGUGCCUCUAUGCGUCCUGUGCGUCCGGCCUCUGACCUGAGCGGAGGGUGGCUCUGGAGCCCUGGGGGUCAGGUGGGUGUCCAGGGCAGGUGGCCCAAUGCUCUCGGGUCAGGCGAGUGGCCCCGUGAGGACCUGAGUCCAGGCUCCUGGGGAGUCGGCUUCCUGCCCAGAUGGGCGGGGCUUUGGGGCCACAGCGGGUGCAGCCAGGUCACUCGGCCACCAUGAUCGGGAGGAUGAGGGUCCCCACAGGGCUGUGGGUGGGCAGGAGGAAGAGGGAGGGAGGGAGGAGGGGAGCGCAGAGGGCAGGCACUGGGUGGGGUGGGCAGACAGCUGUGAGCGAGGGGGAGCCAGUGUGUGAGGCGGCCUCCUGCCCCAAAGGGGACACCGCUGGGUAAAUACUGACUUGACGUCUGACCCCCCCACACACUGCUUCCAGGAUCUCUCCUGAGCAGCCUGAGGUGGGGUUCUCCAGGGACUCCUGCCCGGUGAUGGGGCACUUCCUGUGGAGAGAUGGUGCCCAGGUGGAUGCCAGGAGCACUUCCUGUGGGGAAAUGGUUCCCACGUGGAUGCCAAGGGCACUUCCUGUGGGAGAUGGCGCCCAGGUGGAUGCCUGGGGACUUCCUGUGGAGAGAUGGUGCCCAGGUGGAUGCCAGGGGCACUUCCUGUGAGAGAUGAUGCCCAGGUGGAUGCUAGGGGCACUUCCAAUGGGGAGAUGAUUCCCAGUUGGAUGUCAGGGCACUUCCUGUGUGAGGAUGGUGCCCAGGCGGAUGCCAGAGGCACUUCCUGUGGGGAGAUGGCGCCCAGGUUGAUGUCAGGGGCACUUCCUGUGGGAGAUGGUGCCCAAGUGGAUGUCAGGGCACUUCCUGUGGAGGGAUGUUGCCCAGGUGGAUGCCAGGGGCACUUCCUGUGGGGAAAUGGUUCCCAGUGGGUGCCGGGGCACUUC